GCCCGCCCGCCCCGCCGACUGCAGCCUGCGCUCGGCGCUCGGCCCCCGGCGCCCGGGCGGACGGCGCCCACAAGGUGGCAGUGCCGCGCUGCUGGUGUCCUGGCCGGGUUCCGCGCGGGGCGCGCGGGGAGGCCGGAGCCCGCGCGUCCCUCCUGCAAAAGUUUUAAUGAACAUAGACCCACCCGGGCCUGGGGCGCUCCCAGGCCUGCUGGCCGCGCCGCUUCGAUUUCGGAGUUCCUCUGGGAGAGUUGUACGCUUCGAUGGCGUCUCUCUUUGUCCUCGACUCAGAGAAUCAGGAUUCGGAGCCUGUAAUUGAAGCAGGAGUCCGGCCAUGGCUGCGGAGAUGCCAUCACCCUAAGGAAAGAGGGAGGCAUCUUCUGAGGAAUCGCCUUGAGAACCCGAGGCACGUCUGUUCAUACCUUCAAUCCUGACAAGCUGUUUUUGAAGGCGAAUAUGAUGUUUGGAACCAUCUAGAAGUCAUUUGGAGUCCAAUGAAAAAGCCAGCGAUCAAGGGGAGAAUAAAGGUCUGAGUGAAAAGGUAGCAGCCAAACAAAGGAGCGUGGAAGGGGAAGAGUUCCAACAGCAGUCGGACAAGAUCACUUCAGGCAGAAGACUAGAUGUAUCACCACCAAUUCAGGUGGCAUACGAAGAAGAUCAAACUCUUCAUCUCCUUCUCCUGACUUCUGCCCUUCGUAAUUUGUCCAGACCCAGGAGAAGCCAGGAAGGACAUAUGGGGACAACUGAGGAAAACUGAACACGGACUACAUAUUAGAAAGGAGGAUUGUAUCAAUAAUAUUUUGUAUGAUUAGACCGUGGUUAUGUGGGAGAAUGCCCUCAUUCUCAUAUAAAUAGACGUAUGUAGGGUUGAAGUGUCCUGACAGCUAAACUGGUACUCAAAUGUUCCAGCAACAAACAAACAAACCACACCAGAGAGUUAAAGCAAAGGAGGUAAAUGUUAACAGCCGGGGGAUUUAGAUAAAGAGUAUAUAGAUAUUUUUGCAACUUUUCUAUAGGUUUGAAAUUUAUUCAAAAUAAAAAGUUGGUUAAAAAAAAAAAGAAAUAAUAUUAGCAGCACUUAUGUAGCCCUUACUUUGUACUAUAGAUACUUUUCCAAGCACUUUACACAGAGUAAUUUAUUUAAUCUUCACAACACCCUGCAUGGUAUAUUAUAUUAGCUGCAUUUUACACAUGAAACAAUAGAGGUUCAUAGAGGUUAAGUGAUUUGACCGAAGUCAACAGUCAGCAAGGAGUAGAGUUGGGAUUCCAACUAGAGGCUGUGCAACUUAACCUCUCUGCUCUGCUUUUAUUGGACAUAUCCUAGUUUCCAUAGCCUUCUGAGGGCAUGGAAGAGGUUGUCCAUCACACCUCAAUAACUCAAACACUUUAAAGUUCUUCUUUAUAUUAACUUGAAAUUUAUUUCCUGAUGGAUUUUAUCCAUUUGUUCUGUUUCUACAGUGGGUCCAUCCAGAGCAAAUCACUCUUCCCUCCACUAGAAUGUAAGCUCCACAAGAAUUAAGAAUCGGUCAUGUUCACUACUGUGUUCCCAUGUUGGAAAACUUCCUCCUGGCACACGGCAGGAACUCACUAAACAUUUAUCGAAUGAAUGAAUGAAUGAACAACAGCCUUUCAAAUAUUUGAGGUCAACUGCUGGAAGUUUCCACUCUCUGUUGAAAACCUCCCUAAUCCCUUCAAUUGUGCCAUUAAUAUUCUAGUCACUGUCAUCUAAAUAGUUUCAGUUUUUCUAGUGUUAAGGGUUGUUCCCGGAACUGAAAACAGUACUCCAGCGUUCACUGACCACCACCACUUUCUUUGUUUCAGAUGAUUUCCUUCUUUUAAUUGAGCCUAAGGAACCACAACAGUUUUUUAAGUGGCGUUGUAAACACUACAGAAAAGUUUUACCGGCAAAGACAGUGGACUGAACAUACAUGUUAACUAUUGCUCUGUCCUAGGCUUCACUAAAACAACGGUAAAGGAUUUUUUUUUUUCUUGCAUAAGCCCCUGAGAACAAAGGUAAUGAGAGAGAAGGAAAUAGUAAUAACGUUUUAGAAGCUGGAAGGCAGAUAAACAAAUGGUAACUGGCUUAUCCAACCUAAGAAAGAUGAAUCUUAAGCCAGCAAGGGGAUCAGGUGACACUGAAGAAUCCCAAAAGUUUCAGAAAUUGGUGACAUCAGCAGGAAUAAAGACACAGACCUACUGGAGAACGGACUUGAGGACAUGGGGAGGGGGAAGGGUGAGCUGUGACAAAGCGAGAGAGAGGCAUGGA